rnacentral:tRNA from 1 species
GCGAGAGUGGUGAAAUUGGUAUACACGCUAGUCUUAGGAACUAGUGCCUCCGCGUGAGGGUUCGAGUCCCUCCUCUCGCA